rnacentral:rRNA from 1 species
ACACUCCUGCGGGAGGCAGCAGUGGGGAAUUUUGGACAAUGGGCGAAAGCCUGAUCCAGCAAUGCCGCGUGUGUGAAGAAGGCCUUCGGGUUGUAAAGCACUUUUGUCCGGAAAGAAAUCCUUGGCUCUAAUACAGUCGGGGGAUGACGGUACCGGAAGAAUAAGCACCGGCUAACUACGUGCCAGCAGCCGCGGUAAUACGUAGGGUGCGAGCGUUAAUCGGAAUUACUGGGCGUAAAGCGUGCGCAGGCGGUUUGCUAAGACCGAUGUGAAAUCCCCGGGCUCAACCUGGGAACUGCAUUGGUGACUGGCAGGCUAGAGUAUGGCAGAGGGGGGUAGAAUGCCACGUGUAGCAGUGAAAUGCGUAGAGAUGUGGAGGAAUACCGAUGGCGAAGGCAGCCCCCUGGGCCAAUACUGACGCUCAUGCACGAAAGCGUGGGGAGCAAACAGGAUUAGAAACCCCUGUAGUCCCA